UACGUAGGGGGCAAGCGUUGUCCGGAUUUAUUGGGCGUAAAGAGCGUGUAGGCGGUUAGGUAGGUCCGUUGUGAAAACUCGAGGCUCAACCUCGAGACGCCGAUGGAAACCACCUGACUAGAGUCCGGAAGAGGAGAGUGGAAUUCCUGGUGUAGCGGUGAAAUGCGCAGAUAUCAGGAAGAACACCCGUGGCUAAGGCGGCUCUCUAGUACGUGACUGACGCUGAGACGCGAAAGCGUGGGGAGCGAACAGG
rnacentral:rRNA from 1 species